GAUGAACGCUGGCGGCGUGCCUAAUACAUGCAAGUCGAGCGAACAGACGAGGAGCUUGCUCCUCUGACGUUAGCGGCGGACGGGUGAGUAACACGUGGAUAACCUACCUAUAAGACUGGGAUAACCUCGGGAAACCGGAGCUAAUACCGGAUAACAUGUUGAACCGCAUGGUUCAACAGUGAAAGACGGUCUUGCUGUCACUUAUAGAUGGAUCCGCGCCGCAUUAGCUAGUUGGUAAGGUAACGGCUUACCAAGGCAACGAUGCGUAGCCGACCUGAGAGGGUGAUCGGCCACACUGGAACUGAGACACGGUCCAGACUCCGACGGGAGGCAGCAGUAGGGAAUCUUCCGCAAUGGGCGAAAGCCUGACGGAGCAACGCCGCGUGAGUGAAGAAGGUCUUCGGAUCGUAAAACUCUGUUAUUAGGGAAGAACAAAUGUGUAAGUAACUAUGCACGUCCUGACGGUACCUAAUCAGAAAGCCACGGCUAACUACGUG
rnacentral:rRNA from 1 species